rnacentral:rRNA from 1 species
UACGGAGGGGACUAGCGUUGUUCGGAAUUACUGGGCGUAAAGCGCACGUAGGCGGAUUGUUUAGUCAGGGGUGAAAUCCCGAGGCUCAACCUCGGAACUGCCUUUGAUACUGGCAAUCUCGAGUCCGGAAGAGGUGAGUGGAAUUCCUAGUGUAGAGGUGAAAUUCGUAGAUAUUAGGAAGAACACCAGUGGCGAAGGCGGCUCACUGGUCCGGUACUGACGCUGAGGUGCGAAAGC